UCUGACCUCGAAUCAGGUGGGACUACCCGCUGAACUUAAGCAUAUCAAUAAGCGGAGGAAAAGAAACUAACAAGGAUUCCCUUAGUAACUGCGAGUGAAGUGGGAUGAGCUCAAAUUUAAAAUCUGGUAGUCUUUGGCU
rnacentral:rRNA from 2 species